UUUCAUCAAACGGAAAAAGGUUGUACUUAACGGUGCAUAAAAAGGGAAUCUGGUGCAAAUCCAGAGCUGUCGCGCAACUGUAAGUAACUUUAGAGUCUAUACUCUCCAGGUUUUUGUCCUGAUACACCCAAGUAUCAGUCGUGUCACUGUUCCAAAAAAAGCAAUGGGAAGGCCGACAAAAGCUGUUACAAGUCAGGAGACCUGCCUUUGUCCGCUAUGGCUU
rnacentral:ncRNA from 2 species